rnacentral:rRNA from 1 species
CUUAAUACAUGCAAGUCGUGGGGCAGCGCAGUGUAGCAAUACAGUGGGCGGCGACCGGCAAACGGGUGCGGAACACGUACACAACUUCCUACAAGUGGGAAUAGCCAGAGAAUUUGGAUUAAUACCCCGUAACAUAUAAAGAUGGCAUCAUUUUUAUAUUAUAGCUACGGCGCUUGUUGAUGGGUGUGCGGCUGAUUAGGUAGUUGGCGGGGUAAUGGCCCACCAAGCCUGCGAUCAGUAGCUGAUGUGAGAGCAUGAUCAGCCACACGGGCACUGAGACACGGGCCCGACUCCUACGGGAGGCAGCAGUAAGGAAUAUUGGACAAUGGGCGCAAGCCUGAUCCAGCCAUGCCGCGUGAAGGAUUAAGGUCCUCUGGAUUGUAAACUUCUUUUAUAAGGGACGAAAAAAGGGAAUCCUUUCUCACUUGACGGUACCUUAUGAAUAAGCACCGGCUAACUCCGUG